rnacentral:pre_miRNA from 1 species
GGGGGGAGGCCGGAUCCUGGGCUGUGUCCCAGCGCCCUGUGCUCCCGGUCUGUGCUGUUGGAUUCGUGCUCCCAACCCGCAGCCCCCU